rnacentral:rRNA from 1 species
CCUACGGGAGGCAGCAGUGAGGAAUAUUGGUCAAUGGACGAGAGCCUGAACCAGCCAAGUAGCGUGAAGGAUGACUGCCCUAUGGGUUGUAAACUUCUUUUAUAAGGGAAUAAAAUGAGGCAUGUGUGCUUUUUUGCAUGUACUUUAUGAAUAAGGAUCGGCUAACUCCGUGCCAGUAGCCGCGGUAAUACGGAGGAUCCGAGCGUUAUCCGGAUUUAUUGGGUUUAAAGGGAGCGUAGGUGGGUUGUUAAGUCAGUUGUGAAAGUUUGCGGCUCAACCGUAAAAUUGCAAUUGAUACUGGCAGUCUUGAGUACAGUUGAGGUAGGCGGAAUUCGUGGUGUAGCGGUGAAAUGCUUAGAUAUCACGAAGAACCCCGAUUGCGAAGGCAGCUUACUAAACUGUGACUGACAUUGAUGCUCGAAAGUGUGGGUAUCAAACAGGAUUAGAUACCCCAGUAGUC